CACUGGUAACAACUAAAAAAAGACGACCAAAAAUAUAAUUCAACAGAGGAUGAUGGCUGUGGUGAAACAAGCACUCAAAUAAUGGAACUAAGACCAGUGGGAGUGCUGGAGAAAUCAAGUGUAUAAGUCCUCUGUCAUCUCAGCCAUGGAAGAGAUCUUCAGACAUGAAGAGAUCGAGGAGUUAAAUGAAGUCAAAGAGCUAAAAGAAGAUUUACAAUAUUAGUGUAAUUUCAGUAUGAAAACAGAGAGAGAGCUGAGGCAGUGGAAAGAAAUGCAUGUUAUUGUGUAAGGGGUAGUUGCAUGGACUAUCAGUGGAGGAACAGAAAGCUCUGAGAUUUCAUUAUAAAGAUCUUCAUUUGUGUUCUGAAGAUGAAUGAAAGACUUGCGGGUUUGGAACGAUAUGACGGUGGGUAACUGAUGACAGAAUUUUCAUUUUUGGGUGAACCAACCUUUUAACUUCUGUUACCUGGAGUGUUCAAAGACAUUGUUAAUGCUGACCAAUAUGCCAUAAGAAAUUAAUUGGGAGUAGAAUGAAUACUUUACACAAACACUUGGUGACGUCACAAUUCAAGAUAUAUUUUAAGCACACUAAAUAUGGCUGUAGUGAAAAGUGUAACUGAAACUUGAGAAUUUCUGAUAGUUUUUGUUUUUGUUUUUCCAGACUACAUCCAAAAUAGUGUUUCCUCAUCUGAGAUGAAGGCAGUCAUAAGAACCAAGCAGAAUGAUGAGGAUAAGCUCUUCAAAAAUGAAACCUGUCUGAAUAAUGAGGGAAGAAAUGUGCAUGAUUGUGUGAUUUGUAAAUAAACACUAAAUACUUUUAGUGUAACUCUCAGCCUGUUAUUUUAAGUUUAAAGAAAAGUAAAAUCAUUUAUUGUUGCAUUGCUGUUUGAGACAUUCACUGUUGUUUUGUAGCUUAAUUCAUUAUAUUGCAGUUGUGUA